UUAAAUGGUACUUUAUGUUUCUUAGACAUUAGAUACGUCUAAGAAACAUAUAUUGGGCUAACAUGUGCUGCUGCAGCAAUUCCGCGUUUCAAUCCUCGAACAUUGUGAAUUCUACUACUAAAUUCGCUUUUUCUGUUCACUCAGUCAAAACGAAUCUCUAAAAAUAACAUGAAGCUUGCAAAUUUAAUUCUGUCAACGAACUCUACUGAGACCACUUGUUAAGUACCCGGCCGUCGAGCGCGUAUCAAAUUAAAAAAUUACGGAUGAAGAAACGCGGAUGUAAUGAGAGACUCGAGCGGGCUUAUCGAGAACGUAAAAAUGACAGAGGCGAUGAUAAACUCUACGCAUUAAGUUUUAGCAUAAUGUCGAAGCCGCGGCGUGUAACGCAUGCCGUUAACGUGCGCGUGUGGGCCGUUGUCGGCCCGUGGAGGUUCUUGAACUUUACCGAGGAUCCGUUUCCAGGAGCGACCGAACGAAGGUUCGGGUGAGGAUCGGCCAGGUGGGGAUCGGAAUCGUCUGCUGGCACGAGACAUCGCCCGGUCGUCAUACCUCGGGCACCCUCCUUGUCGUCCGGACACGUCCCGCGUUCUCCGAAACGCCGUUCCGCUCGCUUCUCAUCGCGUCAAGUUCUCGCGCUAGGAGCCACCGAAGUGAUCGACCCGAAUUGCGGCGGGAAAUAACUCGGCAGACCGGCGACCGGAUCCGAGGGAGUUUGAUAGAUCGCAGUCGAAGCCGAGCAACAAGUGCCUGGAGAAGUUUGCUUCAAAAGUUAAAUAAGCACAUCGCAACCGCGAUCGAAGGGAAAUCGCUUGGCGAGCAACUGCUUACCAAUGCUGUCGAUCAACAUGCGUAUAUUCCAGACUGUAUUACUUCUCGCGUUCUUCGGGGCGAGCGUUCGGUGUUUGCCCCUUGCUGAUGAGACGACCACCGAGUCCGCGAAAAUCGAAGCCUCCGCGGCGACUCCGCAGGAGACAGCCGCGAUCGCGGCUUCACCGACGACCGCGCGUCCUGACGCGUCCACCGAUUACUACGAUCAACGGCAGAACGGGACUGAAAAUUAUCGCAUCCACGUCGACGGCGUGGUGCUGGUAUUCGCGCCGGUCGAGGCGUUGCUCCUGGCUGGUGCCGGCGGCACCACCGAGUCUAACUUAACCGAUCACGUUGGAUCUUCGAUUCAGGCCAUCAGCGAGCUGAGCAAACCCAGCAUCGAUGGUGCCCAGAAUAAAACUGAUCCGGCUACCUCGAAGACGAUAACUAGACCAGCUUUGCGGUUGGCCAAUUUCUUAGCGCCCCUAAUACGUCACAUACGUCACGAAGGAGGUACGAGUGUGCACUGAAACGACUCCUCGACGCUCGCGAUUCCAAUAUGCACAUAGCGUUCCGCAUACAACACAUAUUUUAGAAAACGGUACGUCUUCUUUUUUUUAAUACCGUAUCCUCUGCACUCGGAUUACGUAAAAUCGAGGAAAUCGUGCUUAUAUCUUGCAGGGAUAGGAUAUCUGCAUCUACUCUGGGGGAAUGAUGGACGUGUACUCAUAUAUAAUAUAACGUGUAUGAUUUGUGAUUAAUUUGGAAACGCGCACUUAUACCACAACCAAGGGGAAGAAGGUGCUGAUAUUAGCGUUAGUUGGCGAAUUUCUCCGGAAUGUAAAACGGCUUGUAAAAUUGACUCGCAUUCGUGUCGUGUAACGGGCGGCUGAUCGAUAUACCCACAUAUGUAUUUACAUGUUAAACGCGUUGAAUGCGAUGUCUGAGUGUUAGUGUUGAACCCGUAAGAUUCGCACGCAUACUUACGCAAUACUUUAAUUUAAUGCGAAGCUAUAUGUACGCGCAGUGUACUCACACAGUAUUAUACAGAAUCAGUGUCUCGAUAAGAAAAUUUAUUUAAUUAAACAUUAAAAUACAUACGUGUUUCUUCUUGAUGUAUCAUCACAACGAUCUCGAUAAAAAUGCUUAAAGCUACGCUUAUAUCCUUCACGUUUUUCCCUAUCCUCGCCUAUGAUGAAGGAAACCUCUCAAUUCUAAGUGCUUAUAAUAUAUCUCGACACUUUGGUUUCACUCUGAGCAACUCAGUUAAUAUCUUUUGAAAUCUGUCAUAGACAAACGAAAAUACUACAAAUGUAAGCGUGUAUUCCUAAAUAAUUAACGAAGAAAAGAUUACGUAAGAAUCGCGUAAGAUCGCUCUUCUAGUCUUAUUUUCUCUAGUCUUUAUUAUUUAAAAAGCUUUUUAUGUGCAUUUUAUGUAUAUGUAUAUCUAUGACUUGUUGCAAAAUAUUUCUCUAUCUGUUCUCUUAGAUGUCACAUGAUUAUUAUACAGAACUGUUGUACGAUCGAAGACAUGAUAAAAGAUAUCCGGUUUUCAUAUUUUAAACGUUAAUAUCUUACUGUGUUCUUCUUCCAUUAAAUGCUAAUUUUCUCAUUUUUGUAAAAGUACAGUACCCUGUGCAUCUCAAAAUGAAAAGUGUACCUCGAGAUUUUGAAAUUUAAUUCAAUUCUAUUAUUUCUUAAUUAUUUCUUACGCGGAUAGUGCUAUUAGAAUUUUUAUACGAAUUGAAAUGAAUUAAGUUACGACAAUAAAUUGCGCAUGGAAUAUA